UGCCCGAAAGGCCAAAGCAAGCGAACUGCAAGUUCAGGGCCCGCCUCGACUAAGAUGGCACGUUUCUGUACAUACUGUGCUGAAACAAGACACUGUCUCCAAAGGAAAAAGGAGUUACAAUAUAGACAUUCACAGAAACUGCACGUUCUGCUCCUGCCAGGACUGCAUGGGAAUAAAACCCUCCAACAGAGCACAUGGUGCCGUGGUCCAGGACUUUUGGAGUUCCUGCUCGUUUGCCUGCCUGCCUGCCUUCCUUCCUUCGAGGUGCCUAGGGAACAACAGAUGCUCUGUCACUAAACUGCAUUCCCAGCCUGACUGACUGUGCAUGUUAAUUCUCAACUGUACAGCUUGGGGUAUGCGGUCGUUAGCUACCUCGGCAACACCCAGGGUUCCACCCCUAACCCCCAUCCCUAGUGCCCUGGCUCCAGCACAGACAUCUGG
rnacentral:lncRNA from 1 species